ACAGUACAAAAAGGAAGAUCCAAAACAAGCAAAUCAUCACCAACCUCCAAGGAGUCAAGGAGACUUGCUGGUGGAUAGCUGGUGUCUCUCCUCCUUCAUGUCCUUGCAAGGGAUCCUGGACUGGGCACUUGGAACACACGUCUUGAUGCCUGCUGAUGGACUGGCUGCUUGGACACGGUGAGUAUACAAGUGUGGGGAAAUAAUUUUUACUUUAAAAUGCAAUCAUUUCCGCCUCCUUCAAGAUUCUGCAGUGAACUUUGCUGCACUGUUGCAACACUAUUUCCUACAUUUGUUCAAAGAGGAAAAGAUAGUUCAGGACCCUGCUUUAACCCUAACAUGAGUCAGUUCAGUGUGCAACCUCAGUCACACCGACUGGUGAAUCCAGACCAGCACUCAGGGAGCUGGAAAGAGGGGAGUAGUUCAGGAGGGAGCUGAGAAGAGAGGAUCUGAUAGGAGAAGGAUAAAGCUGCUCCCAGCCCUUGAAGUGCCUGCAAGGAGGUGCGAAGAUUUUCCAUGAUGGAAGACAACACAGGGAGCAUCACUGCGGCUGCAACACAGCCCACUCCUGCCUGUUUCCAGGCUAAAGUCACUAUAUCUCCCAUCAUCUGUGCAGCACCAAAAGAGGACCAGAAACACAAAAACAGGACCAGAGACCUACAUGGGGACGAGAUGAGGAAACAGCCUACCCAUCCACAAACACAGCCAUCUCUGACUGAAGGAUGUGGCCCAGGACAGGAUGCAACCAGGCUGACAUUCCUAAACAGAUGGCUGAAGAACAAACCCGGGCUCCAGGCUUUAGUGCUGAGUUUUACUGUAUGGACCCUGGGAUGUUUCUGA
rnacentral:lncRNA from 1 species